AGCGGCACGCGAGCUGGGUUCAGACCGUCGUGAGACAGGUCGGUCUCUAUCCGUCGUGGGCGUCCGGAGAUUUGAGGGGAGCUCUCUCUAGUACGAGAGGACUGAGAGGGACAGACCGCUGGUGUUCCAGUUGUCCCGCCAGGGGCAUUGCUGGGUAGCUAUGUCUGGUUCGGAUAAGCGCUGAAAGCAUCUAAGUGCGAAGCCGGCCUCAAGAUUAUAUCUCCCAUCCCUGAUUCGUCAGGGAGUAAGACCGCAAAUAGACUAUUUGCUUAAUAGGCCGCAGGUGUAAGCGCAGUAAUGCGUUCAGCUGAGCGGUACUAAUGGUCGAGGGCUUGACCUG
rnacentral:ncRNA from 1 species